CAGAGAAUCUGGGGUUUAACCUCAAACAAAUUGCAACAGAAUUAUUUUUUCAUGAAAAACGAAGAUUACAACUAUAUUAUUAACAUAUCAAAAAUCGGCAAAAAUCGGAUCACGGCAAAGUUGUAUAAUUUAUGAGAAUUUAAAAGGUAAAAUUCUACUGAAUUUCAUGCAACGUAAUGCGCGCCAUACGUCAAAAGGGAAAUAACUUGUACACUGCAACUACAAUAUGUCAACAAGCGGCAUUUGUUUUUGACUUGGAUUUGACCCAGUGGAACUUAAAACUGGAUGAAAUGGUGAUCGAAGAGAAGUCCGAAAAAAGAAAGCAAUGGUUAUUUAUCCGUUUAUACCACUAGAGCAGCAAAAUUGAGUGAUAAUGUCUGGAAGUAACUGUGUGAUAUGCAACGAACCUUUGGAGAAUGGGCAACUUCUGAUAACGAUAAGAGAAAAAGGUGCAAAAACAAUCAAUGAAGUAAGCAGCAAACAUA